CGGUAGCACAUAGGAGUUUGCUCCUUGGGUGACGAGUGGCGGACGGGUGAGUAAUGCUUGGGAAUCUGGCUUAUGGAGGGGGAUAACUACUGGAAACGGUAGCUAAUACCGCGUAAUGUCUUAGGACUAAAGGGUGGGACCAUUUGGCCACCUGCCAUAAGAUGAGCCCAAGUGGGAUUAGGUAGUUGGUGAGGUAAAGGCUCACCAAGCCCGCGAUCUCUAGCUGGUCUGAGAGGAUGACCAGCCACACUGGAACUGAGACACGGUCCAGACUCCUACGGGAGGCAGCAGUGGGGAAUAUUGCACAAUGGGGGGAACCCUGAUGCAGCCAUGCCGCGUGAAUGAAGAAGGCCUUCGGGUUGUAAAGUUCUUUCGGUGACGAGGAAGGCGAUUGUUUUAAUAGAACAGUCGAUUGACGUUAAUCACAGAAGAAGCACCGGCUAACUCCGUGCCAGCAGCCGCGGUAAUACGGGGGGUGCGAGCGUUAAUCGGAAUAACUGGGCGUAAAGGGCACGCAGGCGGUUGUUUAAGUGAGGUGUGAAAGCCCCGGGCUUAACCUGGGAAUUGCAUUUCAGACUGGACAACUAGAGUACUUUAGGGAGGGGUAGAAUUCCACGUGUAGCGGUGAAAUGCGUAGAGAUGUGGAGGAAUACCGAAGGCGAAGGCAGCCCCUUGG
rnacentral:rRNA from 1 species